rnacentral:tRNA from 1 species
UUUAACUUGGCAGAUAAAUGCAUUUGAUUUAGGGUCAAAUUAUAAUUUAAUUUAAAUUAGUUAAUA